UUGAACGCUGGCGGCAUGCCUUACACAUGCAAGUCGAACGGUAGAGGGGCAACCCUUGAGAGUGGCGAACGGGUGAGUAAUGCAUCGGAACGUGCCCAGUCGUGGGGGAUAACGCAGCGAAAGCUGUGCUAAUACCGCAUGUGAUCUGUGGAUGAAAGCAGGGGACCGCAAGGCCUUGUGCGAUUGGAGCGGCCGAUGUCAGAUUAGCUAGUUGGUAGGGUAAAAGC
rnacentral:rRNA from 1 species